GCGAUGGGCCAAUCGUAUUCCCAGAUCGCCAGAGAACCCCCUCAAAACACAGGCCUCGUCGGUGGCUCCGCAGAAACGAGCGGCGCGUCGAGUCGAGUCGAGAAGGGGAAAGGGAUCUCCUCCGGCGGGCUUGCCUUAAGUGGAGCGCACUUUCGAAGUCUGCCCCAUCCACCGCAACGGAUUGACUCCGGCGCGCACAUUCUGUAGUGACUUCCACAACCCCGUGUUGACUCGCAGCAUGGCAGGGAUAGACUCCCGCGAAGGACAGAGCUUAUUCAUCAACUACCUGAUCCUGAUCGUGCUACUGCUCAUUUUAUGGGUCCUCUACGUCGGAAUGUAAAUGGACCACCCGGAUUUGUAACCAGUGGCCAUCAGCUGCAAAACCCGACGGCUGCCAAGAUGCUGCACUUCCAACAAACCACCACAGAGGGGGCACUUCCGACAAGGGAGCAUCGAAAGUCGCGCGCUCGCAAAUUCCACUACGAGGGGGCCAUGCGUGUUGGCCUCGUGUAGUACCAACAACGUUAUCCACAGCAUGCAAGUGAACUAGAAAGAAAAGGAUUAAUUGGCACAAGUACAAAUAAGACCACAUAUGAACAGUCGCCGAGGAAGCAAGCAGCCCGUCGUUCAUGUAUAUAUAUAAUGAAACUCGUGCCUUGCACCUUAGAAGAAUGUCCUGUAGAUAGAACUCAAAGCAACCAUCGGUCGUUCGAAGCAUGCUUUCGUGAAACUCAUUUAGAGGCCUCUCCGACGAGGCCCCUCUGUGCUUAGAUGUCAUCAUUGUAUGUGUCGCGUCCCAUCUGUCAUGUCGACAACGCGUAGAAGCUGUUGCGCCAUCCUGCUAAGAUUGUAGAGAUUCAACGUCAAAUCAGUAGAAAAGCCGAAAUAAAAUGUUUUGUUCAUGGUUAUUCAAUGGU
rnacentral:misc_RNA from 1 species